UUUCAGAACCCAUCGAGCGAAAUCAUUAUGAAGGAUACCGUAACUUAAAAGAUCAUGGCAGAACGGAGGCUUCCUUAGACGGUUACCAUGGUAAAAGUAUAUAUAGUGAUUCAUCCAAAGAACAUCGUGAACAUCAUGAUGAGCGCUAUCCUCAUAAAACUUAUGAUAAAUCAUCUGAAG